rnacentral:misc_RNA from 1 species
AAGUCGUAACAAGGUUUCCGUAGGUGAACCUGCGGAAGGAUCAUUAACACGUAUCCAAACGUUAAAACUUCCCCCCGUGAACCUUCAUCCUGCUCUUGUAACCCGCGUAGUUCGCAAUCUCUGCUAAAUCAUAGCCCGGAAAGUUGUAGUGAUUCAGAGACCUCUGGCUAAUUGGAACAGCUACAAUAAGCAGUCAGUGUCGGAAAGUGUCAUUGAUUGUGCAAGGAUAGCGCUUCUACGAUUCCUGUAGACCGUACACUCGGGCAGGAGCUUUGCCAAAGGGUCCCCAUGCCCCCUAAUAACCCCACAGUUUAAUGUGAAGCUCAAUGUAAUACAUUGGGUAAAAAAACCGAACAACAGUUAACAAUGAAUAUCUUGGUUCUC